rnacentral:misc_RNA from 1 species
ACAGCAGUGGGUAAAGGAGUCAAGCUAACCACAGGGGGUUGGGCACCAGCAGCAUUUGGUAUGUUAGAUUGUGCAACAGACAGCGCUGAUGAACCAGAAACUGCCACUGGAGCAUUAGAAACAGCAACAACAGGUGUAACUGGAACUGAGCUUGAAGCUACUCCAAAAGAGCUGGAGCUAACUGAAAUAGCUGUCGUAGAUGUUUCAGCCAAGGUAACAGCGACAGCAGCUGGGGCAUGAGAUGCAUCAGCUUGAGACGGGGUUCCUUGGCUAACUGCUUGUUGAGCCUGUUCACGAGCUAACUUCAAUUCCUCUGGUAUUGACCACUUAGAUUGCUUUGUA